AGGUGGAAGCGAUGGCGAUGGUGCAGCCGGUGGGAGUCGGUAGGUGCUCGAGGCCGCCAUGCAAGGCGAGCUUCCUUCGUACGCCUUCGCCAACGAACACACACGCACAAGAAGACACACCAGGGUAUACGGAGAGACGUUGUAUCUCUCUUUCUCACGGAGUUCCUAUCAUAAGUUUCUCUUUAUCACAGUUACAUGGUCCAUCUUUGUCUUCCCUUCUUUCUCUUUCUCCCACUCCCCCGACCUCUAUCUUCUCUCUCUCUCUCUCUCUCUCGGUUGUUUCUUACUUCUGCACGCUGUAUUUUUCUUCUUUCCGUCUGUUUUCUCUCCUUCUCUUCCCAUAUGCGUCCACCGUCCUUCCUUCUUCGCAAACACAUAUGUGUUAGUAACUACGAAGCCUAUCUUACGUACUCCAGGUCCACGCACACUCGCAAACCUAAGUACGUACCUAUCUACGUCCGCGGAUCGAAUUACACCACCGCUAGCCCCUAUGUGGCAACUCUCUUACUUAACCUACCGUCGGGAACAGUAUCGACACAUUUUUCUUUCUCGGGGUGUGCCACAAACGGGGCACCCGCCUUCUUAGCGAAAGUCCACCAAAGAUAACAUCACGGAGCUCGUGAAUGAAAGAAGGCUGACCUAUGAUAAGAAAUAUCGUUGAUCGGUUUACUGUCAUCGUCAGAGACUAAUAAUAACGCAACGUAUACGAUUCUAUCCCUAAGUCGAUGUCGACCAAAAGUGGGAAAAGCCGAAGAACGCGAAGACACCGAACGGAUGGUAGACGGGCGGGGCAAUGGCAAUGGUGGCAAACUCGCGGAGGCACGAAGGAAGAUGAGGUCGGAGGUAAUCUGACACCUGGCCGCAUCGAAGGUUGGUGCCGUGAGAAAAUAAGUACUCUCGUCGCACCGAGAGUAGAAGAAUGAAAAAGGAAAAAGAAAAGAAUAAAGAAAUAAAAAAAUGAAAAUAAAAGCAAAAAAGAACGAAGAACGCACUGAUGAACAAGGAGGACAACUAGACAUCGAUCGAGAGAAAACGUCGUUAGUUCUUUGACUAUCGAUAUAGAAAAAGUGGUAAGAAGAAGAUACUGGAGAGUUUGUCUCUCGAAAUUGCACGUUCGAGCGCAACGAGUGCGACGGUGGUCAUGGUACUCUGCACAGUACCAUUCCUUCGUGGUAACUGGAGAACGCGAAGUGAGUAUCGGUUACGAGGAAAACUUCCGUGCACGCAUUAACGACGCCAUACGUCCUCGCCAUCCGACGUACGAGGGUCGCGGCGCGAACAGGUACACGACAGGUUCGAGGAAAGAUCUGGGUCAACCUAUUUCAACCCUUUUUAUCAUCUUUCUUCCACGAGAUAACAAAAAAGAAAGAGAAAAAGAGAGAGAAAGAGAAACAGAGAGAUGAAAGAAAGAUGAGAUAAAUAGACCAACAUUUCUCUCUCUGACUCUAACUUUAAUGUUGCAUCUUAAUGUAACAUUGUGUUUUACCUAUGUCUUGAAUUCUUUGAUACAAGUUUUACUAAACUUUUACGAGCUGAGACCCACUUUCGAAAACAAUCCUUUUAGCAACUUGCUUCUAACGAACA